rnacentral:tRNA from 37 species
GGCGGAUGUAGCCAAGUGGAUCAAGGCAGUGG